AACUCGCUGUGAAGAUGCAGUGUACCCGCGGCAAGACGGAAAGACCCCGUGAACCUUUACUAUAGCUUGACACUGAACAUUGAGCCUUGAUGUGUAGGAUAGGUGGGAGGCUUUGAAGUGUGGACGCCAGUCUGCAUGGAGCCGACCUUGAAAUACCACCCUUUAAUGUUUGAUGUUCUAACGUUGACCCGUAAUCCGGGUUGCGGACAGUGUCUGGUGGGUAGUUUGACUGGGGCGGUCUCCUCCUAAAGAGUAACGGAGGAGCACGAAGGUUGGCUAAUCCUGGUCGGACAUCAGGAGGUUAGUGCAAUGGCAUAAGCCAGCUUGACUGCGAGCGUGACGGCGCGAGCAGGUGCGAAAGCAGGUCAUAGUGAUCCGGUGGUUCUGAAUGGAAGGGCCAUCGCUCAACGGAUAAAAGGUACUCCGGGGAUAACAGGCUGAUACCGCCCAAGAGUUCAUAUCGACGGCGGUGUUUGGCACCUCGAUGUCGGCUCAUCACAUCCUGGGGCUGAAGUAGGUCCCAAGGGUAUGGCUGUUCGCCAUUUAAAGUGGUACGCGAGCUGGGUUUAGAACGUCGUGAGACAGUUCGGUCCCUAUCUGCCGUGGGCGCUGGAGAACUGAGGGGGGCUGCUCCUAGUACGAGAGGACCGGAGUGGACGCAUCACUGGUGUUCGGGUUGUCAUGCCAAUGGCACUGCCCGGUAGCUAAAUGCGGAAGAGAUAAGUGCUGAAAGCAUCUAAGCACGAAACUUGCCCCGAGAUGAGUUCUCCCUGACUCCUUGAGAGUCCUGAAGGAACGUUGAAGACGACGACGUUGAUAGGCCGGGUGUGUAAGCGCAGCGAUGCGUUGAGCUAACCGGUACUAAUGAACCGUGAGG
rnacentral:rRNA from 2 species